rnacentral:rRNA from 1 species
ACGGGAGGCAGCAGUGGGGAAUAUUGCACAAUGGGGGCAAGCCUGAUGCAGCGAUGCCGCGUGAGGGAAGAAGGUUUUCGGAUUGUAAACCUCUGUCAACAGGGACGAAAAUGACGGUACCUGAGAAGGAAGCUCCGGCUAAAUACGUGCCAGCAGCCGCGGUAGUACGUAGGGAGCAAGCGUUAUCCGGAUUUACUGGGUGUAAAGGGAGUGUAGGCGGGACUGUAAGUCAGAUGUGAAAUAUGCCGGCUCAACUGGCAGACUGCAUUUGAAACUGCUGUUCUUGAGUGAAGUAGAGGUAAGCGGAAUUCCUAGUGUAGCGGUGAAAUGCGUAGAUAUUAGGAGGAACAUCAGUGGCGAAGGCGGCUUACUGGACUUUAACUGACGCUGAGGCUCGAAAGCGUGGGGAGCAAACAGGAUUAGAUACCCUGGUA